CGGCGGCCUCACCGCGGCAUCCUGGGAGGCGUAGUUCUCACUCCUAUGACAGAAAACGAGGGUGUGGCCAGCAAAGGACUUCAAGGCCCAUGAUCCCUUAGGAGGGGGCCGGCUGCAUUAGGGGUGGCUGCUGGUUUGUAACGUCUACGAGAAAACAGUCUCGGAGCUAAAAAUGAAUGGGAAUAAUCCACAUGAGAGUUGCUCCUUCUGCCUGGGCCUGGGAAUGAGAAGACCUGUGGAGCUGAGCUACUGCUUACCCACAACCUGCAUAUACAUAAAUCAGAAGCCAGCACUGGUUGUUGUGAGUCGCUUAGAUUUUGGGCUUGAUGAAGAUGACCUUAGGCACAGUGACCCUGAAGGCCACAUGUUAAAGACAGUGGAGCCACAGGAUGGAAGGAAGCUGGUUCCCUGAAUCAUCACGUGGCAGAGAGCGGACCACUAAUCAGGAUCAUGUGUUUCAGAUUUCACUUGACCAAUAAAUCAAUUUCAAUUUUGUUACACUG
rnacentral:lncRNA from 1 species